UUUAGAAGUGAUCUAAGUGACUUAUAUAUCAUUUGUAACCUCGGUAGUGAAACCUCUAUUAAUAAAAAUAGUGUACAUGUACAUAAAUGUACAUACCUUAAUAAAAACAAGCAGGUGAGAUGUUAGAACGCUUUUAUUUCUAUUUUAGUGGACACUCAAUACUAUAGACAGCUGCUGGGGUUUCUUUAACCUGAGUAGUGAGAAGUCCGCGAGCGGGGGGGUUGAAAAACGAUGUGCCGGGAGUCCGCUGUUGAGUUUUGGACGAAAUGCAUUCUGGGAUAUUUAGCUGUACCAAGUCCACACCGAUGCAUGCUCGAUAAAACGGGCGGAUCGAGAACACAUCCGGGACUUUUUCGCGUUCUCGGCUUGAUGCGUACUUCGAAUUGGAACAGUACUUGGUCUCCGACUGAUGACGUAUCACGAGUACACGAGAACGCAAGUACGCACAAGUACGCAUAUUGAUAAACGCCCAAGGAAUGACUGAAGACACAUGGACUAAAUACACAGGAGGAUAAUGAAGGAAAAUGGAAACACAUGGGGGAACAGCUGACACACAUGAACAUAACGACGUCACAAGAGGAGAGUAAAACUAAAAACAUUGAACAUAGGAACACAGGACCCCUUCAAAAUAAAACAGGAAACAAAGAGACGACACAGACAUGACAACAUGAACUUGACAACAUAAGACUCACAGGCAUGAAACACAUGAAGGGCAAGGGAGACUUCACAGGGGUUGAAAACACAAGUGGGAACUAAUAAGCAAAUGAACAUAGGAAACCUAAUGAGCUUAAACAUACUAUAAACAUCAAAAUGAACUAAAACUCAAAACACUGGGUCAUAAGACACAGGAUCGUGACAAAGAGAGGUAGGAAGUUCUCUUCCUUUUUUUGGGUGGAACAGCUAGGCCCCUCCAGUUCUCAACUGCAUCCCCAUCAGCCGGAAGAAUGUUUGUGGCAGCAUCAAAUCUCACAAACGGGUGAGCAUCCAUUUUUAUUUUGUCUUCCGCACUAUGAGUCGUCAUAGAUCCAGAAUUGGCAUCUGUGACUUUCAGUGAUCCCACUGUUGCCUCAUCUUUGACCUUUUCUUUUGCAGAACAAAUCUGCAUAUUUCCCUCGAUGAAGGAAAGAUGACGAGCAAUGAAGUGAUCGACUCGAACAGGUCUGUCUGGAUCUCAUCCACUGAAUCCACUCUCUCACUUUCCUCCAUCUGUUCAUCUGGAAUGAUGAUGGAGUCUUGAGCAAUUUGGGCUUUCAGGUAUUUCUUGCACCUUUCUGAGGGAAGAGGGGCUCCAGAACUGUCAUCACCUUCUGCCUCACUGAGGGCCACAACAGUGAUAGCACGCAGUCCCACUGGCAUAUCAUCUUGAUGCAGUGCACAACAUCAACCCUGAUAAAACAUGGGGGGAGUUUGGCAGACUGGGUUCCAAGAAGGACAUGAAAGCAUUCAUUAAGAGUGGCCAAAUUUGGAAGGUGGCUUGGCUCAGGAUCUCCAACAUCCAUCAGAUCUGCUGCCUUCGCUGACCUCCAUACAGCCGGUUCCAUUCUGCCCUCACACAGCUCUUUAGAGAUCUGUUCACGCAGGUUUCCAGUAAUGAACCGCUUGGAGUGGCCAGUGUGCAGGGAGAGAUCUGUAUUUCUCAUGAAACACUGGAGCACCAUUGGACUAUUGAUUGCUGGCUGUCUGUCACAUGUCAUUUCUAACUGGCCAUGACACUCCUUACUGAUGUCCAG
ensembl:lncRNA